rnacentral:rRNA from 1 species
AACGAACGCUGGCGGCAGGCCUAACACAUGCAAGUCGAACGCUUUGUAGCAAUACAGAGAGUGGCGCACGGGUGAGUAACGCGUGGGAACGUGCCCUAGAGUCUGGGAUAACCACUGGAAACGGUGGCUAAUACCGGAUAUUCCCCCAGGGGGAAAGAUUUAUCGCUCUAGGAUCGGCCCGCGUCAGAUUAGCUAGUUGGUGGGGUAAUGGCCUACCAAGGCUCCGAUCUGUAGCUGUUCUGAGAGGAAGAUCAGCCACACUGGAACUGAGACACGG